GAUGCUAUAAGGAAGGCAUUUGAUGCAACAGAAGAGGAAUUCUUGCAUUUGGUAAAGCGAUCAUGGACAGCUCAGCCUCAGAUAGCUUCAGUCGGUUCCUGUUGCCUUGUUGGGGCAAUAUCAAAUGGUAUUUUGUAUGUGGCAAAUCUUGGGGACUCGAGGGCUGUGCUUGGCAAGAGAGUAUCUGAAGGCAAGACAAGUAGUGCAGUGGUGGCUGAACGUUUAUCUACUGAUCAUAACGUCUGCGUUGAGGAGGUGAGGAAGGAGGUGGCAGCACUCCAUCCUGAUGAUUCACACAUUGUGGUUUAUACUCGUGGUGUUUGGCGGAUAAAGGGCAUAAUUCAGGUUUCAAGGUCAAUAGGAGAUGUAUAUCUA
rnacentral:misc_RNA from 1 species